rnacentral:rRNA from 1 species
AUGCCGCGUGAGCGAAGAAGGUCUUCGGAUUGUAAAGCUCUGUUGCCGGGGAAAAAGGAAGGAAAGAGGAAAUGCUUUUCUUUGGAUGGUACCCGGCCAGAAAGUCACGGCUAACUACGUGCC